rnacentral:rRNA from 1 species
GACGAACGCUGGCGGCGUGCUUAACACAUGCAAGUCGAACGGAAAGGCCCUGCUUUUGUGGGGUGCUCGAGUGGCGAACGGGUGAGUAACACGUGAGUAACCUGCCCUUGACUUUGGGAUAUCUUCAGGAAACUGGGGCUAAUACCGGAUAGGAGCUCCUGCUGCAUGGUGGGGGUUGGAAAGUUUCGGCGGUUGGGGAUGGACUCGCGGCUUAUCAGCUUGUUGGUGGGGUAGUGGCUUACCAAGGCUUUGACGGGUAGCCGGCCUGAGAGGGUGACCGGCCACAUUGGGACUGAGAUACGGCCCAGACUCCUACGGGAGGCAGCAGUGGGGAAUAUUGCACAAUGGGCGGAAGCCUGAUGCAGCAACGCCGCGUGCGGGAUGACGGCCUUCGGGUUGUAAACCGCUUUCGCCUGUGACGAAGCGUGAGUGACGGUAAUGGGUAAAGAAGCACCGGCUAACUACGUG